UACGUAGGGUGCAAGCGUUAAUCGGAAUUACUGGGCGUAAAGGGUGCGCAGGCGGCCGAGUGUGUGAGGCGUGAAAGCCCGGGGCUUAACCCCGGAAUUGCACCUCAAACUACACGGCUAGAGCAUUGGAGAGGGUAGCAGAAUUCACGGUGUAGCAGUGAAAUGCGUAGAUAUCGUGAGGAAUACCAGAGGCGAAGGCGGCUACCUGGACAAUUGCUGACGCUCAGGCACGAAAGCGUGGGGAGCAAAAGGG
rnacentral:rRNA from 1 species